rnacentral:lncRNA from 1 species
UCCAAUAUAACAUCCAUAGAAAUAAAAAAAAAAAAAUGUAAACAUUCAUAAUUUAAUUAAAAUUUUCAAGUCACUUGCUUUCUCCAUGGCAUGCCGCAUCUCCAUCUACCAUCAUCCACGCUCCAAGCAAGUCAAAUCAAUCUGUAGAAAGGGACUUUAACCCAUAAAUUUGAAAUUCAAUAGAUAUCAUUGGUGCACUUCGUUCUCAAAUUAAAAAUUUCGAACUAUAGAUUCAUACCGUCGCAUAUAGAUGGAUUUCUGACAAAUUCCAAUUCUGUAGCGUUAUUAUAAAACGUAGAGCCAGAGAAUGAUCAUUCAAUUAUUGUAGUGCUGAAGCAUCGUACCCGUAGGUACCAUUUCAUUUAAACAUUUACGAAAAUUCAUAAUUUGGAAACAAAAUAACACAUGCACCUCUACCGACCUUUGUUUGACGCCUUUGAAGUGGAUGAAAUUGGACAAUAAAUAUUGUUUUCGCUUCUUUACUUUUUAAAGCUUUUUCUUGUAUUGUGCAUAUAUUUUUGAAAAGGAUACGAAUAAUUUGAAAGAAAUGAAAAUCAAGUCUCAAAUUCUAGUAGAGAAAUG